GAUGUGCCCAGAUGGGAUUAGCUAGUAGGUGGGGUAAUGGCUCACCUAGGCGACGAUCCCUAGCUGGUCUGAGAGGAUGACCAGCCACACUGGAACUGAGACACGGUCCAGACUCCUACGGGAGGCAGCAGUGGGGAAUAUUGCACAAUGGGCGCAAGCCUGAUGCAGCCAUGCCGCGUGUAUGAAGAAGGCCUUCGGGUUGUAAAGUACUUUCAGCGGGGAGGAAGGCGAUGAGGUUAAUAACCUCGUCGAUUGACGUUACUCGCAGAAGAAGCA
rnacentral:rRNA from 1 species